GAUGAACGCUGGCGGCGUGCCUAACACAUGCAAGUCGAACGGAAUUUACAUGAAGCCUAGCGAUUGUAAAUUUAGUGGCGGACGGGUGAGUAACGCGUGGGUAACCUGCCUUGUACUGGGGGACAACAGUUGGAAACGACUGCUAAUACCGCAUAAGCGCACAGCUUCGCAUGAAGCAGUGUGAAAAACUCCGGUGGUACAAGAUGGACCCGCGUCUGAUUAGCUGGUUGGUGAGGUAACGGCCCACCAAGGCGACGAUCAGUAGCCGGCCUGAGAGGGUGAACGGCCACAUUGGGACUGAGACACGGCCCAAACUCCUACGAGAGGCAGCAGUGGGGAAUAUUGCACAAUGGGGGAAACCCUGAUGCAGCAACGCCGCGUGAGUGAAGAAGUAUUUCGGUAUGUAAAGCUCUAUCAGCAGGAAAGAAAAUGACGGUACCUGACUAAGAAGCCCCGGCUAACUACGUGCCAGCAGCCGCGG
rnacentral:rRNA from 1 species